AUGACCGAUCUCAGCGUGGGGAAAUCUGGCACAGCCUGGCCCUGGACGCAGCCCAUGCCUCCCAGGUACGUGUCCCCUGGUUGGGCCAACACUGGUUUGCAGCCUUUGAGCGGAGCUCAACUGUUGGAGAGAGUAAAUGGUACUGUUUCUUCCCAGCUGAGGCUCCCCCAGGCCCUGCAUUUGGAUGGGGACAUUGUCUUCAGACCGGGUCCCCGGGGAGCAUUUGACUGCAGCGUGGACACGAGGGCCACCAUCAACUACAAUGUCACAUUCCAGGUCUCGGUCCAGCUGAACGGAUCUGACUCCCACUUGGCGUUCCUCUUCCAACUCAGACAUCCCCACAGACCAACGUUUCCUCCAGACUUACAGGUACAGGUGGCUGCCCGACGAUACAAGGACCAUAGCCUCAGUGGCUCCCUGUCUGUGCGCACAUCUAGCCGGGAGCUGGUUCUCCUGGAGGCCGACACCAGCCAGGACACCCAGAGACGCAGCCAGGCCUGGGACACGAGCUUCCUCCUCCACCAGGCAGUCCUCAGUGGCCCCCGGGCUGUUCAACUGCAGCUGUCCAGCAAGGUGGCCGCAGCCAGGGUUUGGCUGUUUUAUAAGGUGUUGGUGGACCAGAACACAGCCCAACUUCUCCUCAAGGCUUCCAGAGAGCAGAGGGGAGGCCAGGUCCUGACCCUGCAGAGCCAAGCCCAGCACACGGUAGCUGGUUGGACAGCUGUGCCCCGCCUCCUGACCCUCAAGGGCAUGCUGAAGCAGAAGGAGACGCUCAGAGAGGGUACCGUCAGGGUCACUGCUGACUCAGCUGUGCUGGGCUUCAUCCUGCGGGAUAAGCGUGAGAGGGCAGGGAACGGCACCAGCCUGCACAGUGUGCACUGCACGCUCACCCAGAACAGCAGCCAGGCCUUGCCGAGACGGUUCGGGCUGAGAGGGCGACUGCGGGCCCAGGCGGGGAGCCUGGGGGGCCAGGCCCGCCUCCGGGCUGAUGCCGCCAGCCUGGCUCUGGCUGGGGUCUGCUCCUGGGGCCCCAGGCACGGCCAGCUCUCGGGCAGCCUGAGUCACAACAUCGGCACCUUGAGGGAGGCAGGUAGGAGGGGGGGACAGGGCCACGUGCCUUCCUCCCCAAGGGCUCCCAGUUCCUGA
rnacentral:lncRNA from 1 species